UACAGAGGGGGCAAGCGUUGUUCGGAAUUACUGGGCGUAAAGGGCGCGUAGGCGGCCUUCUAAGUCGAACGUGAAAUCCCUGGGCUCAACCCAGGAACUGCGUCCGAUACUGGAAGGCUUGAAUCCGGGAGAGGGAUGCGGAAUUCCAGGUGUAGCGGUGAAAUGCGUAGAUAUCUGGAGGAACACCGGUGGCGAAGGCGGGUCUCUGGGCCGAUACUGACGCUGAGGAGCGAAAGCAUGGGUAGCGAACAGG
rnacentral:rRNA from 1 species